UCGUCAGGUAGGAUAAUCCUUACCUGUUCCUCUACUCACAGGGCAGAGAGAGCAUGAUGAUUGGAGUUGGUGCGACUCGUGAUUAACUUCUCUGUGUGAUUAGGGAUUGCAGCAAACUCUCUGAUUCAGAA